rnacentral:rRNA from 1 species
GACGAACGCUGGCGGCGUGCCUAAUACAUGCAAGUCGAACGCAGUGGGGACGGGUGAGUAACACGUGGGUAACCUCCCAUCAGAGGGGAGAACACUUGGAAACAGGUGCUAAACCGAUACUGAUGGAUGGACCCGCGGUGCAUUAGGUUGUUGGUGGGGUAACGGCUCACCAAGGCCACGAUGCAUAGCCGAGCCGAGAGGGUGAUCCGCCAACAUGGGGACUGGACAAGGCCCAGGAUUCUACGGGGAGCAGGAGUAGGGAAUCUUCGGCAAUGGACGGAAAGCUGGACGAGCAAAGGCGCGUGAGUUGAGGAGGGUUUCGGGUUGGUAAACUCUGUUGUUCGGGAAACGGUAACUAACCAGAAAGGGACGGCUAACUACGUGCCAGCAGCCGCGGUAAUUC